ACUACAAAGUCUGGUGUGGGGAACAAAGCGUUUUUGGGGCUUGCCAAGUUGCCUCUAAGGAUGCAAAAACCACCUCCUGCGCAAUUCCUUCUCUUAACAGAGGGGACUUAAACCUCCCCAUAGCCAUGGGGUGCAGGUGAUCAUGUAGGAACAGUGCAAUGUUCAUGGCUGUCAUGCUCUUGGAGGGACUGGCACAGAGGUCCACAGCUGGUUUUAGUUUCCUAUCUGUCAGCUUUAGCUAAAAGUUAAUAGCAUACAAGCUUUUUCCAUACCCUCAAACUUGGGCAGCCAAAGCCUUCCCUUGUUGCAGUUUGCAGAUAUUCACAUUCUGGCUAAUUGUAUAAUUGAGAUGUUUCCAGUGAUUUAAAAGACUUCUGACUAAGCUGUUGGCAUAAAGGGGGAAAACUGAAAGCCGGAGUCAGGGGGAAUAAAGAAUUCAACAGAAGCCUUUGAACCAGCUUUUGAUUUGCAUAUGAAUAAUGAUUGAUCUGCAAAGGGAAUCGUGUCCAGCCAUUCUCAACAGAGGCACCAGGCAGGAACCGGUUCCUUGCUGGGAGUGCUCCUUCAAUUCCUACCAAGAUUAUUUCACAGAAUUUCCCCAUCAUGCUUUCAUGACCAUGUAUUACUGCCUAGUUACACAGGAUCUCAUCCAGAUACAAAUUCCCUUGAUCUCAGGGACACUGAACCAUGGUGUCCAGAGUGACUGUGGUGCACAGAGUAGGAACAGACAUACAGUUCUGGAUGCCUGGGAGGUGUCACAUGCUGAUGCACAAACAGAAGGAGCAAAAACGUUAAGGUGCCUGUGAUGGGACCCUCCUGCAGGGACACUUGCUCUGCUAUGCUGGGACCUGACCUUGACACGUGUCGGCUUUUUGUGUGGCUGGUUGCCAGCUCUGCUGCUCCCAAAGGUGUUGAAGAUGAAGGACUUUGCAGAACCAUAGCUUGAGGUGUCUGGAGAGCUCCACCCCCUGAGCCAAAAUCACCACUUGAGAGUGGAGAAGAGAAUAAUCUGGAGGAAAUGACAGACUGCAGCUGUCAGAAAUCUUCCACAAUUCUGAGCAGCAGGGAGUGUGGAGGGGCAGGAAAGGCCUGUGAUUUGGGUACCCAUAGCAUGUCCUGCCACCAGCAGCAGGCGGAAUGCUACAGGUAGAGCCAAGGUUUGUGAAGGGCAAACCAGAAGUCUGCUGUCUGUGCUCUUGCUAACAGCUCACAAUUUCUCCAAUUAUCUGGCGAGCUCAAAAGGUGCAUGUGAUGGACAAUGUGGUGGCAGCAGGCGUACGUAGCUCUCACCUUUGUGUAGAGGCAUAAAGCUGGGCACAAUCCCAUGCUCUCUGCUACAAAUACUACAUUGUUUGGAUCCGGGAAACAAAGACUUGCAGAAGGUGUUGGAGCAUUAGCAGCCAGGCACUGAACUUUAAUUGUUUAUAGAAAUUCCCAUUACACUAUUCUACACACGAGGUAAAUAUAUUUAAAUAAAUCAUUCUAAAUAAUGAAAUAGAAAUCACAUAUCAUUUCCUAUAAUGCUCGAGUUCCUAAGAACUUCCUUUGUAUGAUUGUGAACUGUCCCAACUGCGUAGAUAUCCUGUACCACAAGAGCAAAAGAAUGAUUAGAUGACUUUAUACACAUGGCAUACAAUCCCUAAUUAAACAAGAGCUCAAACAAUUUCAGAGUACACCAUUUGCACAAUGAUAGGAAAAAAAAAAAAAAAGAAAUUGUUUUUAGAAUUAAAAAAAAAGACCAGCUCUCUCUUACUCUGUAAACAGGAACAUAUUCAUCUACUAGUCAUACUCAGCUGGACUCUCUAUCCCUAAGAAUAAAGGCAUCCUUGUAUUCUGAUCCAGAUCGAAUUAACCUAAGACAAGUUUCAGUUAUGAGGACAAACACUGGAUGUAGAGUUCACAAAUUAAAAAUAUGAAGCUUGUAUUACUGGGAAAACUGUCUUCUCUGUGUAAGAUAGAUCAAAUAUCUAACAAUUAGAGAUGUGUAAGAUGAUAUCAGAAGAAUCAUCUUGAGUAGGCUCAAUUAAAUAAGCUAAACUGUCAUUUUUAAUAAGACUUUAAUUUUAGCAACUGGAAUAACAUCAGGUCGUUCUGUGUGUGUGAUAGGCAGCAACUUACUUUACCCACAACAAUGAAGAUGGUAUUUUGAAUGAAUACAAUAUACAUGACAGGCACACGACUGACUGGAUUGUGUGAUGCAGUAACUGCACAAUAUAAUGAAAAAAGUAACUUUGAUCUCUAGUAGCCUUGUGAAAACAAGCUCCAUGUAGUAGCUUUUGCAGAAAAAAAGACAUUUGUUACCAUGCCAUGCUUUCAUUCAAGCAGAACGCUUCUGUAAGAAGUUGUCCAUACCUCUUACAAGCCACAAAAUUACAGAUGAUAAAGAAAAGGCACUCUCCUGAAAGGUAAGGAUGUGGCACAAGAUCCAGUCUUAUCAGCCAUCAAAGAAUCCAGAUGAGUGGAGGCAUAAUGAACAAGCUAACUUCACUUAGGCUUCAUUCCUUACGAGCCAGAGGAAAUUAGGCUUCAUUAGUUUCAUUGCUUCCUCGGUUAGCUGUGAAGCAUUGCAUAGAAUUUGCAGAGGAAGUGAAGUGAAAACUUUUCUUCAUCUGUCAGAGAUCCUUUUAUGAGUAACAAUUUCCACUUCUGCAUGAAAAAGGGAAAUCAUCUGCCCUGUGUACUGUAUGGUGACUUUGGGCAUAAAGCGGGUGACAAACAUAAGAUAAAAAUGAUCGAUUUUCUUGUUGCGUUUUUUUUUAUUACUAAACCCAAUACAAGAAAUUCUCGAGUUUUACACACUCCUCUUCAACAGGCAGCAAUUCUUUUUGCUGAAGUUAAAAUUAUCAAUUCUAGCAAUAUGCCACCUUAUACACUCACCUUAUACACUAGUGUCUAACUGGGAAAUGAAUACACAUACUAGUAUUCAUUGUGUUAGUCUCCCCCACCUUCUGCUGUAACGGAGCUUGUCUGAGCUCAUUACUUUUGUAUUUUCUUGGUCAGACUCAUAAAUCUAAACUCUUGUGAUGUGGUGCUGUCUGCUGUCCUUUUUUUCUUUCAAAUGCUUUCUGGACUGUUGAUUGGUUUUACCUGUGGGUCCAGUGAAUGUUUCUUGAAGCCUUCUGUUCUCCAGUUCCCGUGUGGGGUGCCCGCUGCAACAUCUGCUUCUGUUGCCGCUUCAAGCAGUCCAUGUGGUCGACAAUUUGUUCCAGUGGGUCUUGAGGGGUCCACCAGGGUCCUGCACAGACUGCUGGCAGCAGCCACAGAAGCAGGAAUUUUAAUUGUGAGAUCUGAAGGCAAGGAGAGAGGACCAUCCUCAGCCUCUGCUGGGGACAAGAAGGCUACGAUGGCAACAGGCUGCUGCUGGGCAUAAUUGUUCUGUGGUUCUUCCACCAAGGGUCAUUCUGGAACACAGCCAGGACAUGUUGAGCACAGCAUAGUGCUGGCUUGUAUGCUGACCACACCAGUCACAAUUUAAGUACAAGCCUUUCUAUAUGCUGCUUAUAAUGGUUUGAUUUAAAUGAUACUGCUUAAACUGUGGCAUAAAUGAUGCUUUCGUUCAUACCCAGUUUUCCCCUGUCUCAAGGGAACUAAAUAAUUUCCUGAAAAACGGAGCCCAAAAAAAUGUGUAAUACAGGACAGUUUUGCAACAUUGACUCUUACUGCAAUUUGCUAGUAAAAUUGCCAUUGUCCAUUCAUAGGAUAUUUUCUAUAAGCACUGGAAUUUCAAACCCACUUUAUAUACUGAAGUUUACUACUGUGUUUUCUGGAUCAGCCACUUUCAAUCAACAAAUACACUCCUAGAGCUGAAACACAAGUGCCCGGAACUAACACUGCCCUCUGAGGUACAAUAAGGCUCACCUAAUUGCUUCCUGGCUUGCUGAUCUGUCAUCCCGACCCCCUCUUUGAUGUUGGUUUUUUUUUUCAUGGAGCAUUAGUAACAAGUGAGAAAUGCUGUCUCAGAGUGUUAUGUAUGGGAUUAUUUCUCUAUCCCCAGCACAAUGACCAUAUGUAAUGGGAUUAUCUCUUAUUUAAAAUAAAAAAGGCUUGGAAACAUCAAA